AGAGUUUGAUCAUGGCUCAGAUUGAACGCUGGCGGCAGGCCUAACACAUGCAAGUCGAGCGGCAGCACAGGGGAACUUGUUCCCUGGGUGGCGAGCGGCGGACGGGUGAGUAAAGGCUGGGAACCUGCCCUGAUGUGGGGGAUAACAGUUGGAAACGACUGCUAAUACCGCAUGAUGUCUACGGACCAAAGAGGAGGACCUUCGGGCUUCUCGCGUCAGGAUGGGCCCAGUUGGGAUUAGCUAGUUGGUAGGGUAAUGGCCUACCAAGGCGACGAUCCCUAGCUGGUUUGAGAGGAUGAUCAGCCACACUGGAACUGAGACACGGUCCAGACUCCUACGGGAGGCAGCAGUGGGGAAUAUUGCACAAUGGGCGCAAGCCUGAUGCAGCCAUGCCGCGUGUGUGAAGAAGGCCUUCGGGUUGUAAAGCACUUUCAGCAGUGAGGAAGGUGGUGUAGUUAAUACCUGCAUCAUUUGACGUUAGCUGCAGAAGAAGCACCGGCUAACUCCGUGCCAGCAGCCGCGGUAAUACGGAGGGUGCGAGCGUUAAUCGGAAUUACUGGGCGUAAAGCGCAUGCAGGCGGUCUGUUAAGCAAGAUGUGAAAGCCCCGGGCUUAACCUGGGAACCGCAUUUUGAACUGGCAGGCUAGAGUCUUGUAGAGGGGGGUAGAAUUUCAGGUGUAGCGGUGAAAUGCGUAGAGAUCU
rnacentral:rRNA from 1 species